GCUAAUCACAAUUGUCAACUUUCUCCGCAAUAUUGUGAAUUUUCUAUCCCCAAUUUUUGAAAAUGAAAUAUAUAAAUCUUGUCUGCAGGAAUCCAUUUGUCUCCAGUCCUAACCCUGUCUUCUUGUUUUAUUGUAAUUUUGUUUCUUUCACUUCCAACCGUUUAACGUGGUCAAAGUUGAAAUAUAAAGGUUUACUGUUGUAAGUAAAUGAAGUGAAUGCAAUACUUUCUUUACUGCAUGAAUCGUAUUGUCUUAACCCUUACAUUAUUAUACCUUUCUUCUUGUUCAAUAUUUUCUUUUAUUUUUCUUUAGAAAAUUUCAUAUAAGUCACAUUCUGAACAUUUUCUCCUACAUAAGUCCACCAUAACAGUUUUACUCAUAUAAGUCCACUUUUAAGGCUAAAUCUGUUAUUUUACUUUUACGAUGUACCUAAAAUGCCCUCCUCUCCUUUACACCAAUCCUCUCUCUCUCCCUCUCUCUCUCUCUCUCUCUCUCUCUCUCUCUCUCUCUCUCUCUCUCUCUCUCUACUCUACUCUAAAGUAGGAAAGACUACUACAAACCCAGAAAAAAUUCUACAGAAUUUAGUCCUAUUUAUAGUGUCCAGAAAGAGAGAAGAACGUGGAGUCCAUGAUAAGAACAGAGGAAGCAAAAUUGAAUUGUGCAUCUGAAAUCUUACCCGUUUAGGUGCUAGACCAGACCCCUAGGGUUCUAGCUCCUAUGGUAUAGCUUCAAAGAUUUAGCAGCUGGUCUCCAGGCAACUGACACGUUCUGCUUGUUCAUGGCGGUAGCCGUGAAAAUUGACUUUUCUUAAGAAGGUUCUGGGUUUCUUUGAGGCGGUUGAACGAUGUUUUCAUAAUGGAAAGAAUUGAGGAAGAAGGAGGCCGGGGUCGAUGAAGAUGAGGGCGGAAGAAGAAGGCGACUGUCGUUCUACAAAUCUACAACAACAAGCUUUCUUUUGUUUUUCUUUUCCUAUGUUGUUUUGGGCUCGGGUUUGGGUUUCUGGGUAUUGGAUCAAGGCUUUUGGUUAUGGGCUACAANNNNNNNNNNNNNNNNNNNNUCUCUCUCUCUCUACUCUACUCUCUCUCUCUCUCUCUCUCUCUCUCUCUCUCUCUCUCUCUCUCUCUCUCUCUCUCUCUCUCUCUCUCUCUCUCUCUCUCUCUCUCUCUCUCGAAGCCGCCGCCGCCUCGGCGCUACUUCCGACUCAGCCUUGAUUGCAUCUCCGGCUCUGACGAUGCCGUCGCCUUGACGAUGACAUAUGGAUCCACCAUCGACGACUCCUCGACGACCUCCGCUUCAACCUCGACUGCAUCUCCUCAACGCGCAGCCGGAUCUACAAGGUCCAACCAACUCCGACGACGUCAUCCACCACUUGUUCGGCGCCCGCCGCCGUUGGAAGCAGAGAUUUAUGCGCCUUAGUAGAUCUCCCCAGUGUGUGUGGACCUUCCUCUACCUUUUCCGAUCCUCUGAUCAGCCCCCUCAUCACUGGCCGCACCUUCUCUGAUCAGCCUCGUCAUCUUCUUCUCCGCACCUUCUCCUAUGAGUUCGAGACGGUGACGACGAAGGUGAUUCGUCAGUGAGGUGCAGAUCUAUCGAGGAUCCACCGCCUUGAGGCGGUUGUCAUUUCUGACAAGGACACUGGCCGAUCCAAGGGCUAUGGUUUUGUGAGUAUUCCGAUUCAUUUCUAUUCUUCUUGAUCACGCAUCACUGACUGCUAAUUUAGUUGUGGAAUUUGAUGAAUCAAUGGACGUAGUAGCUUUUGUAGGCAGUGGUAAUAGUUUUUGUAGAUGGUGGUAGUAGCUUUUGUGGCUGGUGGUAGUAUUUUUUGUGUUCGUCGAAAACCUCACAGUAGUAGCUUUUGUAGGCUGUGGUAGUAGCUUUUGUAGGCGGUGGUAGUAGCUUUGUAGGCGGUGGUAGUAGCUUUUGGGCUGGUGGUAGUAGCUUUUGUGACGGCGGUCACAGUAGUAGCUUUUGUAGCGGUGGUAGUAGUUUUUGUAGCUGGUGGUAGUAGCUUUUGUCGCUGGUGGUAGUAGUUUUGUGUUCGUCGAAAACCUCACAGUAGUAGCUUUUGUAGGCGGUGGUAGUAGCUUUUGUAGCUUGUGGUAGUAGUUUUUGUGGCUGGUGGUAGUAGUUUUUGUUUUUAUCAGAAACCUCACAGUAGUAGCUUUUGUAGGCGGUGGUAGUAGCUUUUAUAGCUAGUGGUAGUAGCUUUUUUAGCUUAUAGUAGUAAUUUUUGUCAUCGUCGGAGGUUGGCCGGAAACCUCGCCGGAGGUUGGUCGGAAAUCUCGCCGGAGGUCGGCCGGAAACUUUGUAGUAGCUUUAUAGCGGUGGUAGUAGUUUUUUAGCUGGUAGUAGUAAUUUUUAUCAUCGUCGGAGGUCGGCCGGAAACCUCGCCGGAGAUCAGUCGGAAAUCUCGCCGGAGGUCAGUCGGAAAUCUCGCCGGAGGUCGGCCGGAAACUUCGCCGGAAACCUCGCCGGAGGUCCGCCGGAGACUGUUCCGAAAUGAGAGUGGUUGUUGACUUUUUAUACUAGUGGCAUUCUUGUAAAUAUAAAGGAGAAAAUCUAAUUUUUUUUGUUGGAUGGCAGUCUGUAAUUAUGUUGAACUUUAAUACUUAAUACAAAACUUUAUUUAGACUUGGGUGGACUUAUGUGGGUAAAAAUGUUGGGAUGGAUCUAUGUGGGAAAAAAUGUCUCAAAAUGGACUUAUAUGUAAUUGGCCUAUUUUUCUUUCACUUAAUUUCAAGUUUCACCAAUUGUGAAGUGAUAGGUAUAAUAACCGUAUAGGUGGUCAAAAUUGAUACAAAUACAGACUCCUCACUGUUGUAAGUAGUUCAUGACUACUCAGUGACACUAGCUAGUACUGAUAAGUGGUGAACUAAUAUCUAGAGGCUGGAGGAUCGGAUCAAGGAGUAGUAUUCUUAUAUAUUAAGAAGUUAUGAGUACAUUCUUUCUUCUAAAUAAAAUUUGGUGCUACUUUGGUUGAAUAUGCACGUGUCUAAAUUUUUUUGUUU
rnacentral:lncRNA from 1 species